rnacentral:rRNA from 1 species
GACGAACGCUGGCGGCGUGCUUAACACAUGCAAGUCGAACGGAAAGGCCCUGCUUGUGUGGGGUGCUCGAGUGGCGAACGGGUGAGUAACACGUGAGUAACCUGCCCUUGACUUUGGGAUAACUUCAGGAAACUGGGGCUAAUACCGGAUAGGAGCUCCUGCUGCAUGGUGGGGGUUGGAAAGUUUCGGCGGUUGGGGAUGGACUCGCGGCUUAUCAGCUUGUUGGUGGGGUAGUGGCUUACCAAGGCUUUGACGGGUAGCCGGCCUGAGAGGGUGACCGGCCACAUUGGGACUGCGAUACGGCCCAGACUCCUACGGGAGGCAGCAGUGGGGAAUAUUGCACAGUGGGCGGAAGCCUGAUGCAGCAACGCCGCGGGCGGGAUGACGGCCUUCGGGUUGUAAACCGCUUUCGCCUGUGACGAAGCGUGAGUGACGGUAAUGGGUAAAGAAGCACCGGCUAACUACGUG